rnacentral:rRNA from 1 species
GACGAACGCUGGCGGCGUGCUUAACACAUGCAAGUCGAACGGUGAACGAGGGAGCUUGCUCCUUCCGGAUCAGUGGCGAACGGGUGAGUAACACGUGAGCAAUCUGCCCCGAACUCUGGGAUAAGCGCUGGAAACGGCGUCUAAUACCGGAUACGACGCGCGAAGGCAUCUUCUGCGCUUGGAAAGAAUUUCGGUUCGGGAUGAGCUCGCGGCCUAUCAGCUGGUUGGUGAGGUAACGGCUCACCAAGGCGACGACGGGUAGCCGGCCUGAGAGGGUGACCGGCCACACUGGGACUGAGACACGGCCCAGACUCCUACGGGAGGCAGCAGUGGGGAAUAUUGCACAAUGGGCGCAAGCCUGAUGCAGCAACGCCGCGUGAGGGACGACGGCCUUCGGGUUGUAAACCUCUUUUAGUAGGGAAGAAGCGAAAGUGACGGUACCUGCAGAAAAAGCACCGGCUAACUACGUGCCAGCAGCCGCAGUAAGAC